GCCUAGUUAGCUUAGUUGGUAGUGCGUCUGCCUUGUAAGCGCUAGGCCGCGAGUUCGAUUCCCGCCCGGGGCG
rfam:Asian citrus Psyllid, Diaphorina citri - Florida Strain, whole genome shotgun sequence.